AAAGUUUUCUUUAUUGGGGUUGCGGACAUAUCAUAACGGAGAGGUAUCGUAAUUGAAGAGGUUUGGAAAGACCCACCACAGAAGGUAAUAGUCCUGUAUGUUAAACGAGAAGACUUUAGAUAUGAUCCAGAGUACCACGGGACACGUGAAACCCUGUGGGAAGCAGGAGGGACCACCCUCCAAGGCUAAAUACUACCUAGUGACCGAUAGCGUAUAGUACCGUGAGGGAAAGGUGAAAAGAACCCCGGGAGGGGAGUGAAAUAGAACCUGAAACCCUGCACUUACAAGCUGUGGAAGCACAUUUCUUGUGUGACCGCGUACUUUUUGUAGAACGGGCCAACGAGUUACGUUAAGUAGCAAGGUUAAGCACUUAAGGUGUGGAGCCGUAGCGAAAGCGAGUUUUAACUGAGCGUUCAGUUACUUGACGUAGACCCGAAACCGGGCGACCUACCCAUGAGCAGGAUGAAGCGAAAGUAAAAUUUCGUGGAGGUCCGAACCCACGAGCGUUGAAAAGCUCGGGGAUGACUUGUGGGUAGCGGUGAAAUUCCAAUCGAGCCCGGAGAUAGCUGGUUCUCCCCGAAAUAGCUUUAGGGCUAGCCUCAAGGUGAGAGAUACGGAGGUAGAGCACUGAAUGUCCUAGGGGGUAUUGCACCUACCGAAGACUAUCAAACUCCGAAUGCCGUCAUCUUAUACUUGGGAGUCAGACUGUGGGUGAUAAGAUUCAUAGUCGAAAGGGCAACAGCCCAGAUCGUCAGCUAAGGUCCCUAAAUGUAAGUUAAGUGGUAAAGGAUGUGGGAUUGCACAGACAACCAGGAUGUUGGCUUAGAAGCAGCCACUCAUUCAAAGAGUGCGUAAUAGCUCACUGGUCGAGUGAUCCUGCGCCGAAGAUUUCCGGGGCUAAAACUUACUACCGAAGCUACGGCAUCAGUAAUGAUGGGUAGGGGAGCUUCCCAUACGGGUUGAAGCAUGACCGUAAGGACAUGUGGACAGUAUGGGAGUGAGAAUGUUGGCAUGAGUAGCGAGAUGUGGGUGAGAAUCCCACAGGCCGUAAACCCAAGGUUUCCAGGGGAAGGUUCGUCCGCCCUGGGUUAGUCGGGACCUAAGCUGAGGCCGAAAGGCGUAGGUGAUGGACAACAGGUUGAUAUUCCUGUACUACCGAUAACCGUUUGAGAGAAGGGAUGACACAGUAGGAUAAGCUAAGCACACUGUUGGUUAUGUGUGCCCAAGCAUUGAGGCAGUCAAAGUAGGCAAAUCCGCUUUGAUAAUGCUGGGAUGUGAUGGGGAGCGAAAUUUAGUAGCGAAGUAGCUGAUUUCACACUGUCAAGAAAAGUCUCUAUCGAGGUUAAAGGUACCCGUACCGCAAACCGACACAGGUGGGUGAGGAGAGUAUCCUAAGGCCAGCGAGAGAACUGUUGUUAAGGAACUCGGCAAAAUGACCCCGUAACUUAGGGAUAAGGGGUGCCACCAUUAGGUGGCCGCAGAGAAUAGGCCCAAGCGACUGUUUACCAAAAACAUAGGUUUCUGCUAAGUCGCAAGACGAUGUAUAGGAGCUGACGCCUGCCCGGUGCUGGAAGGUUAAGGGGAUCUGUUAGAG
rnacentral:rRNA from 1 species